rnacentral:lncRNA from 1 species
CCGGUAGGCCACAAGAGCACUGUGGAGAGCGAGUUGUUUCUUAGCUUCCCAAAGAACCGGAAGCAAGAUGAUUUAUGGACUGUCUCCUGUUGAGGAAACAAUGCAGGACAUUGUGCCUUGCACCUAUAGGGCAAUGUAGGACAUGGCAGGGGAGAAUUUCUAUUUCAUCGAGAUCAGGGCUGGGAAGAAAGUGCAUUUCACAGGCCUUUGUAAGAGAUGUUCCCGGUAGGCUGUAAGAGCAAUGUGGAGAGCGAGUUGUUUCUUAGCUUGCCAAAGAGCUGGAAGCAAGAACGUUGUGGCUUGUCUCCAUUGGAGGCACUGACUCAGUGCUUAGUGACUUCCACCUCUAGAGCAAUGUAGGACAUGGCUUAGAGCAGAAGUUCCAAGGCGUCGAGAUCAGGGCUGGAACAAACUGAUUUUCAGGACUUUGUAUGAGAG